rnacentral:misc_RNA from 1 species
GUUUAUACUGAAAAAGUAUAUGGAAAAAACUUGCAAGAAGAGAAGCCUCUCAAAAGGAUUAAGUACCUUUGAAGUCAGAAUCCAUUUUCUCAAAACAAUUUCAAUGUAGUAGAUAUGAUAGCACAAAAAAAUUCAAAUGUGGGUAAUAUCAGUCCAUCUUUGCAGAACAAGUCAACAAGCUGUAGCAGAUCAAGUGAAUGUUUCAGGAUCUUCAUAACCAUCAG